rnacentral:piRNA from 1 species
UUUCAAUGUAAUGGAACAUUU